rnacentral:rRNA from 1 species
GUCUGUGGUCUAACCACCCUGGAUAUACCCAAUUUUGUCUGAUUUUGGAAACUAAGGAGGGCUGAGCCUAGUUUGUACGUGUAUGGAGAUAUGACAUAAUUUUCAACAAGAAUUAUAUUUCCGUUGCUGCAGUAU